AACUUCAAAAUUAGCAAAAAAAACGUCCUCCAACUAUACAUGUUGUUGCACUUUUUGUCUGCCGUUUGUCUUCCGUGAGAAAACUAACGUGAGAAGCUGAUGUAGCUCCCUCACGCGUGUCUCACGGAAGGCAAACGACAGACCAAAAGUGCAACGACAUGUAUAGUUGGAGGAUGUUUUUUACUAAUUUUGAAAGUU
rnacentral:pre_miRNA from 1 species